UACGUAGGGCGCGAGCGUUGUCCGGAAUUAUUGGGCGUAAAGAGCUCGUAGGCGGCUGGUUGCGUCUGCUGUGAAAUCCCGGGGCUUAACCCCGGGCGUGCAGUGGAUACGGGCCGGCUGGAGGCAGGCAGGGGAGAAUGGAAUUCCCGGUGUAGCGGUGAAAUGCGCAGAUAUCGGGAGGAACACCGGUGGCGAAGGCGGUUCUCUGGGCCUGUACUGACGCUGAGGAGCGAAAGCGUGGGGAG
rnacentral:rRNA from 1 species